rnacentral:rRNA from 1 species
AAUAGAUACCCAGGUAGUCCACGCCGUAAACGACUGAGUGCUAAGUGUUAGGAGGGUUUCCGCCCUUCGAGUGCUGCAGCUAACGCAUUAAGCACUCCGCCUGGGGAGUACGGUCGCAAGACUGAAACUCAAAGGAAUUGACGGGGGCCCGCACAAGCGGUGGAGCAUGUGGUUUAAUUCGAAGCAACGCGAAGAACCUUACCAGGUCUUGACAUCCUCUGACAAUCCUAGAGAUAGGACUUCCCCUUCGGGGGCAGAGUGACAGGUGGUGCAUGGUUGUCGUCAGCUCGUGUCGUGAGAUGUUGGGUUAAGUCCCGCAACGAGCGCAACCCUUGUCCUUAGUUGCCAGCAUUCAGUUGGGCACUCUAGGGAGACUGCCGGUGACAAACCGGAGGAAGGUGGGGAUGACGUCAAAUCAUCAUGCCCCUUAUGACCUGGGCUACACACGUGCUACAAUGGAUGGUACAAAGGGAAGCGAGACCGCGAGGUGGAGCCAAUCCCAUAAAGCCAUUCUCAGUUCGGAUUGUAGG